UACGGGGGGGGCAAGCGUUGUUCGGAAUUACUGGGCUUAAAGGGUGCGUAGGCGGUGGAGUAAGUCGGAUGUGAAAUACCUUAGCUUAACUAGGGAACUGCACUCGAUACUACUUUGCUAGAGUAAGACAGAGGUGAGUGGAACUGAGGGUGGAGCGGUGAAAUGCGUUGAUAUCCUCAGGAACACCGGUGGCGAAGGCGACUCACUGGGUCUUUACUGACGCUGAUGCACGAAAGCUAGGGUAGCAAACGGG
rnacentral:rRNA from 1 species